rnacentral:lncRNA from 1 species
UUUGCUUUCAAUUGUAGGUAUUUAAAAAUUGUAACACGGGCCACCUCAUCAGACUCAGGUUCCUAUGCAUGUGAAAGUGGAAAGAAGGACAUGGAGAUUUUCAAAGGCACCUGGCAAGGACUGGGGGGGCUUGGAAAAUGAUCAGAAAUAAAGGAAUCUGGAGUUUCACCCCAGAAGGGACUCAUGGGAGAGGAAUUCGUGUGGGUGCUUGGAGCCAUCAUCCAGGAAAGAGAACAACACAAGUGAGCGGGCCUGGAAAAUCACAGCCAGACUUAAAGCAAAAAAGAAUUGUUAUACAAUUUUAGGGAAGUCAGCAUUUAAUUUGCAAGGUACGAGACCCCUGUAUGAGACUGUGCACAGCCGUAGCCCUGGAUUGAGAGGUGUGACAGCUGGAAGGCCACCGCCCCAUCCCAGCCUUGGUGUCCUGCCCGGCUGGCCUCAGACAAAUGCCAACAUUGUCAGGCCUUGGGAUAAACCCUGAUUUUUUUCUUCCUCUAAUAUGAAAAUCUAAUUUGGCAAAAAGAACAUUGGAAAGGGUUCAGUAGCCUCGACCCUGAUGUGCUCUGCUUUCCCAUCCAUCCUGAGAGUUAUUUGUGAAGAUCAAAUAAGAUGAAGAAACUGAGGCCUAGAGAAGUAGAGUAACUUGCCCAAGGCCACAGGCCUUGCAAAUAAAGGAGCUGAUGGAAGAGGUCUGCCUGAAAGGAAGACAACAGCAAGCACGGGCCACCUGUGACCACGUGGACCCUAGGACCCAAGAGCAUGGCCCUGGAGCUGCCUGGCCCUACUGGCCUAGACUGGGCCUCGGCCACGCGCUCCUCACCUUCACAGUGGCAUUGCAGUACCGGGCACAGCCGCUCUUCAGGCUCCCAAACCUGCCACUGUAGACACAUCUGUGUGUGAAGAGUGCCUGGAGAAAGCCAAGGAGGGAAAGCAUGGCAGUCAGCAUGUUUAGGUCCUCCAGGCACUGCACACCCUCUGCAGACACUUGCCAUUGUACUUCCAUUUCACCACUGACGUCAGGAGAGAGUGCUGGACCACACUAGCAGACCUGGGUCUACAUCAGAGCUUGGACACCCUUUUUUAGGCCUGUUCCCUUGUUGGUGGAAUACAGGCCAGAGUUUGCAUCAUCCAUGGCCCACAGAUCUUUAUUCCCUCUUCCAUGCCACAGCAGAUGUCUCUAAGCAGAAAAUAUUUUCUGUUCAUUCUGGAUACGGUCUAGUCUCCCCUUCCGAUCUAUAGCCAUCCCUAAGAUCUCCUACAGAGACAUUUUGGAGCCCCCAAAGGGUCUAUCUACACUUCAUUGAAAGGUUUGCCAAACAAAAUUGUGAUAGUCUGAGUUUUUCUCUUAGGAGUGGGGCAGAUUUAUAUGCAUCCUUCCAUUCUAACCAACAAUGCCCACUCAUAAUUAUCUAGAACUCAUGUUUACUGAGAACAUUUUAUGGGCCAGACACAUUGCACAGAUGAGUUCAUCAAUCUUCAAUUCUAUGUGGAUGUUUCUCAUGCCAUUUUUUAUAGAUAAGGAAACAGGCCCAGACAGGUUAAAUCAUUUUUUCCAAGAAACACUGAUAGUAAGUAUAAGGUCUAGAGAAUGGGUCUUAUCACGUACAGACUUUAGGAUCACAGUCAUGUAGCCUCUGUGGGCCUCAGCUGCCUAAUUUAUAAAAUAUCAAGAAAAUAUUGAUGAGACAAUAAUGCUGAUUUCAAGUUUUGUCACGAGAAUUUAGUCUCUGGUUCAAAUUUUGUUUUAGAUAAUUGUUGAUGUCAAGCUUAUCCCUUCAUCUUAGGCUGUUGCUCAAGAAGAGGGCAAUGAGACUUUCCUAGGCUAUAAAAUCCUAAAAUAUUAGCUAUAUGAAGGAAUUCUGAGGUCACUGAGGAAGGAGCACUACAGUCCUUUUGGGAAUCUCAGGAUAAUUAACCAGGUGUGGGUCACAGGAUUCCCGGGAUGGGUGAUUUGAGGGCUUCUUUUGGCUCCUACCCAUGUGUCUAAUUUCCCUUUCUUUUCCCUCUUCCUUCUCUUUCCCUGGGCUGAGACAAUCAUAGAAUGGUGAUUAAACAUGUAGAACAAAUCAUGGUUCUGCCACAUCAGCUGUGUGACCUUGUACAAGGUGGUUUACGUUUCCUUGCCUUAGUGCCCUAAUCAUACAUUGGUUAUGGUGAUAAUAUACCCACCUCGUGGGGCUGCUGCAUAAAGCAUUUAGAACAAUGUCUGGCACACAGCAAUCACUGUGACACCAGCCAACACAAUUUCCUCUUCUCCUCCCUCUCACAUUCCCUGCUUGACAGCAUCCUGAAGGACUCAGGGGUAAUGCCUUUGUUAAGCAAAAUAAAUAUCUGAACACCUGCAUCUAUUUAAUUUUAAUGUUUUGCUUUACUAAAUACUUCACAAUAGAAUCACAUUAAAGAGCUCAUAACCUUACCUAAUGAUCUAUUCUAGUGUUUAAUGCCACUUCUCAUUGGUAAGUUCUUUCUUAUGAUAAACUUAUAGGCAAAAAUUUCUAUCAUCAUUUUUGCCUUAGAACACUUUGCUUUUUACCACCAAUAGAGUCCUUGGCAUAUGAAUGAUAGAUCAUUGCACAACUGUUUUCCUUUUUAGAUGGAGCUUCUCAGAUAAAAGCAAAAUGAAAUGAUUUCUUAUUCAUCCUCAUGCCUCUGGAAGCAAGCACUAUGUCUGAUAUAUGCUCAAUCCUCAAUAAAUGUGUACAGAAUUCAAUUAAACUUGGAAGCUUUUGAUAGUCCCAGUA